ACAAGGUGGCAUCAGAGGCAUUUAGCCAUCCGACCAGCUGCCUCCUCUGAACGUCUCCGCUGGCGCACGUGAUUUAUGAUACCUGCACCCAGAAGGUGGUGUGUGUAGCUGUGUCUGCCUUGUGCCCUGUGGGAUCCCUCUCUUGCUUCUCUCACGCCGUAGUUCUACGAAUCCAGAGAGUCUGCUCUACAGAAAUGAAGACAAGCACGCAGUCAACCGAGGCACUCUCUGGAUGCAGGGAUAUGAAGGUGACGAAACCCAGCAGAGGAUGUAGCAGACAGCCUUGGAAACCAGAAAUCAUAACCCAAGGUUGGGAGUCCCUCCCCAUCUAGGCUGCUGGAUUAUGCAUUUGUAUGUUUGGUUGAGCAAGUCAAGAAGAAAAUUCUCCAGGGACAAUAUCUGGAUCACGAGGGCAUUUUCCUCUACUCCAGUACUGGGGAUAGCAAAGUAUUUGUUCCAAACUGCUGUUAUGUUCUAGGCAUUGUGUUCUGCAUUCAACAGGUAUUGUCUGAUUUAUUCCUCAGCGUGACUGUAUAGGGACUUUAUUGUGUCCAUUUUAUAGAAGACAAAGUAAAGGCUCAGAGAACCUGAAUAAUUCAUGCACAAGUCAUAUCAGAGGCGGAGCUGUGACUCUGUCACAGAAAGCAGGCAUGAUUAACUUGGUCAGUGUCACUUAUGGAGAUGUGAGCAAGGUGAAUGAACAUUCCUUAGACAUGAUGAUUUUCGCCUUUUUAAAAACAUUCCUGGUGGAGCAGUAGAUAAAAAUCUGCUGGCCAAUGCAAGGAACAUGGGUUCAAUCCCUGGUCCUGUAAGAUUCUACAUGCUACAGGACAACUAAGCCCACGUGCCACGACUACUGAGCUUGCUCCCUAGAGCCCGGGGACCAACCGCUGAGUCCACACCACAGCUCCUGAAGCCUGCGUGCUCUAGGGCCCGAGAGCCACAGUCUCAUGCCCUGUGCUGCAGCUACUGAAAUCUGCGCGCCUAGAGACCACGCUCUGCAACUAGAGGACCCAUCACAACGAGAAGCCUGUGCACUCAACUAGCGAGCAGUUCCCACUCUCCACAGCCAGAGCAAGGCUGCACGCAGCAGCAAAGACCCCGAGCAGCCAAAAAUAAAUAAAUAAAAAUAAACA
ensembl:lncRNA